rnacentral:piRNA from 1 species
GAUAGUCUCAGCACUGAACAUGCAUCGAU